rnacentral:rRNA from 1 species
GAUGAACGCUGGCGGCGUGCCUAAUACAUGCAAGUCGAGCGAACGGACGAGAAGCUUGCUUCUCUGAUGUUAGCGGCGGACGGGUGAGUAACACGUGGAUAACCUACCUAUAAGACUGGGUUAACUUCGGGAAACCGGAGCUAAUACCGGAUAAUAUUAUGAACCGCAUGGUUCAAAAGUGAAAGACGGUCUUGCUGUCACUUAUAGAUGGAUCCGCGCUGCAUUAGCUAGUUGGUAAGGUAACGGCUUACCAAGGCAACGAUGCAUAGCCGACCUGAGAGGGUGAUCGGCCACACUGGAACUGAGACACGGUCCAGACUCCUACGGGAGGCAGCAGUAGGGAAUCUUCCGCAAUGGGCGAAAGCCUGACGGAGCAACGCCGCGUGAGUGAUGAAGGUCUUCGGAUCGUAAAACUCUGUUAUUAGGGAAGAACAUAUGUGUAAGUAACUGUGCACAUCUUGACGGUACCUAAUCAGAAAGCCACGGCUAACUACGUG